CUCUGACCUUGUCCUUGCCUACUCCAACGGGAGUUACCAGACGACUACUUCUGCAUAUCAAUGGAAGGGGGUUUUACUGGCCACCACAAGCACUUUCCCUCCAAAUUUGGGUUUCACUUUUUGGGGUUUCUUUUAGAUCUGGAGACGAACAUCAUCGCUUCGGUAUUCCAAUUCUCUUUUUGGGUUUUGACAUCAUCAGGAUCUGAGCAAGCGGUGUGUGUAGAAAUUGGAAACAGGGGGUGAAGCAGAGUCUGGGACGCAUAGACAAUUUGAGCUUUGCUGGUUGGAAGAUGGGUUCUUAGAUAUGAUUUUUGGGUGUGAGAACUCUAAUUGGAGAACAAGAGGAUGAUGGACAGUUCUAUUAGAGAAAUAGAGAGGACAAGCCUUCUGAGGGCAAGAGAAGAAGCUUUGGGUUUGAGAACUCUAGCUGGAGAACAAGAGGAUGAUGGACAGUUCUAUUAGAGAAAUAGAGAGGACAAGCCUUCUGAGGGCAAGAGAAGAAGCUAGUUCGAGGUUAAGAAAAGUGCUAAGCAAGGGCAGAUGAUCUGUUUUUCUUCUGAUCAGAUACAAGAAGGUAAUUCAAAUAAGCCCCAUUCAACUGGUGUAGUAGAUGCUUAUCUUGCAGAGUGGAUGAGAGAAAUGAAUGUAAAGUAGUGUAGGAAAUGGAUGUAAAGUAGUUGUGAAGGUUUCUUUUUGCUUCUAUGGAUUUUUAUUUGCUUGUAAGCAAAUCUUAUAUGAUGUACAAUAAUUAUAUAAAUGAAGUUUAUUUACCAACAAAAAUAUAGAAACAUGAAAU